AUUGAACGCUGGCGGCAGGCUUAACACAUGCAAGUCGAGCGGAGAUGAGGUGCUUGCACCUUAUCUUAGCGGCGGACGGGUGAGUAAUGCUUAGGAAUCUGCCUAUUAGUGGGGGACAACAUUCCGAAAGGAAUGCUAAUACCGCAUACGCCCUACGGGGGAAAGCAGGGGAUCUUCGGACCUUGCGCUAAUAGAUGAGCCUAAGUCGGAUUAGCUAGUUGGUGGGGUAAAGGCCUACCAAGGCGACGAUCUGUAGCGGGUCUGAGAGGAUGAUCCGCCCCACUGGGACUGAGACACUGCCCAGACUCCUACGGGAGGCAGCAGUGGGGAAUAUUGGACAAUGGGCGGAAGCCUGAUCCAGCCAUGCCGCGUGUGUGAAGAAGGCCUUUUGGUUGUAAAGCACUUUAAGCGAGGAGGAGGCUACCUGGAUUAAUACUCUAGGAUAGUGGACGUUACUCGCAGAAUAAGCGCCGGCUAACUCUGUGCCAGCCGCCGCCGUAACAC
rnacentral:rRNA from 1 species